rnacentral:rRNA from 1 species
UACGGAGGGUGCGAGCGUUAAUCGGAAUUACUGGGCGUAAAGCGCACGUAGGCGGUUGAGUAAGUCUGCCGUGAAAGCCCUGGGCUUAACCGAGGAAUGGCGGAGGAAACUGCUAGGAUUGAGUGUGGAAGAGGGGGGUGGAAUUUCCAGUGUAGGGGUGAAAUGCGUAGAUAUCGGGAGGAACACCAGAGGCGAAGGCGGCCCCCUGGGACAACACUGACGCUGAGGCUCGAAAGCGUGGGGAGCAAACAGG